AGUUCUCUCUCACUCAUCAAUACUACUACAGUUUUAGCCUUGGACAUCCCUGCUAUAAAAAUGGAAAAGUUGGUGAAGGUGAUGACUAAAAAUCCAGAAAUUGCCCGCGGAAAGUUACCAUUUGGUUUUUAUAAAAUGCAGCUCAAAGGUGUGGACUCACCAUAAAGCUAAUUUAAAAAGAAAAUUAGCUUCAAACAAGAGAAACUUUCAAGCCACUGGUGGUGGUCCAUCCACGGAACUAAGCUUGAGCCCGUAUCAAUGUAGUAACAAGUCAACCCUAAUGGAUCUGCAAUGGUUUUGGAAAUAAAAGGAGAUUCCGAUGAGGUGAAAGCAGUAUUUAGACCUGAGGAACCUUCACUGAUUGCUGAAGAGCAAUCUUGCGGACAUUAAAACGUUUGGAAAAGAAUUCAUACAAGAAUUAUAAAAUAAACAAAAAAAGUUUGAGUUAAAAAAGAAAAAGGCUGAUUUGCAAAUGAAACUGGUUUAAGUCAAAAUCGAAUUGACAAAUAAGAGAAUUCAGGAGAUGUGAUAUAAAUCAUUUAG